GUCAUCUAAAAAUGACUAGUGUUCCUAAACAUGAUGUGAUUUCACAAGCUUAAACAUGUCUGACGUUCUUUUCUAACCUUUGCUGGAUGCUUCAACAGUGUUUGGCUGUCAAUAAUUUACCCUGGCUGAUUGAGUUUAUACUUGCCUGCUUUGUGAAUAAAAGUGUUUGGAUUACAAAGAAGAGAUUGAGUUAUCCUGCAGAGAGAUGGUGCAAUAAGCAGAUUUUUCUCUUCUUUCAUCCACAGCAUUAUUUCAGCUGGGAGCUGUAGUAUGUGACUAAUUAGCCAAUGGAAGUCCACUCUCUGGACUUUCUGGUGGUAUAUUUACACUGAAUUCUGGCCUGAUAAUAAAGGUGUCACCCAGUGUAACAAUGUGACACACCCAGAGUGAAGAAGAAAAGUCUAAGAUAACACAGAGCCUCUGUCAGCCCUCAAACUUAUUUUUCACAAGCUUCAGCAAUAUUCCAAACAACAAAAGAAAUAUGACUGAACAGACACAAAUUUUGAGGACAUAUUUUUUCCCCAGUAUUUUUUUAACAGGUACUACUGAUGUCCCAGUGCUUUUGAGGGUCUUGUUUGUCCUCCUGGAUGCUUUAGGAAGUUACCACUUUCAGCUCACCUAGAGCUGAUCUCAUUAAUAAAAGAAUGACUUUACAGAAAAGAGUUUCUAAAAUUAUACUCUCACUCAGAAUUGCAAGAGUUGGCUUUUCAGCCUGAAGAUAAAUUUCUUAAGCAUUAAGCUUACUUUAUCAAGUAUUACACCUGACAUUCUCUCAUAAAUUUUGCAUAUAUUUUAACUAAUUUUAAUAUUGUGUGGGCUUGGUUUAUAAUAUUCUCAUGCAGUUACUAAAGUUGAAUCUUCUCAGUCAUAUAUUAGUUGUAAGAAUGCUUAACCCCUUCCAAAAUAUCACUCACUUAAAAUCACAUCAGCUAAGUCUCCUCUUAUUUUUGCUUAUUUCUUGGUUAUUUACCAUGCAUUUUGUGUAUGUUGGAACCAGCCAUGCAGUCGUUGUAUUCCUUUUUUGAGAGGGCAAAUGUAUUUUGACAAGGUUGCUAUUGGAAACACUUUUUAAAUAUCUCAUGUGUCACAUCACAAUCAGCAUCAUAAUCUGAUCAGGUGGAUUAAUUUCAGAAGGCAGCAGAGGGCAUUGCUUACAGGGGUCACAGACAUUCAGAUCAUGGCAGAACUGUCACAGAUGUUACUUUGUGAAAACACAAAGAAUAAUGUGUUUGGAGAGAUCAGUCUUCAAUUAGCUAUAUUUUCUAGGAGCCUACCUUUACUUAGCCUCACAACAUGGGCCUUAGCUUUAGCACUUAAUCUGCACAAAUACCUGGCUUAAGUGUUAUGACUGACUGGCUAUUCAACCAAACCAUACAAAUGACCAAUUCGGUAAGAAAGCAUGAACUUCAGUGUUGAACCAAAUCAACCAACCUCCUCAAUCCAAAUGGAGAGGAUAACAAAGGAAGCUGAGGAAGUCUGUUCUGGAGGCACCAUGACAAAGCACCAGACAGAAAGCAGUCACGUGUGGGGAGAUGAGCAGAGACACCACUUCUCAAGCACCUGAUUAUUCUUUCUCAGUAUUUAGAAGCAAAAAUUAUCCUUAAGAAAAACAACCGCAAACGCAACACAGGCUACACAGAUGAGAAAAUGGGCUCAUGAAACACUGCACUAAACAGUCACAGGACCAAGAUAUAGAUUCCUAUUUCCAGGCUUGCAGAGCUCAAACCAUUACACCAUUCAGAAGCUGGCUUUGGUAUUACUUCAAGUUAUUCAAAACAGUCACCACUUGCUGAGCCUCUGAUGUCUCAUCUGUUGAAUGGGUACAUUUUCUUCCUGAUCCUUCCACCUCUAAACUUGUCUAUUUCCAAGGAUCUAUGGCAUCCAGGCAUAUGAUUUCAAGAGAGAAGGCUGAAAAGGAAGGUGACUGGAAUAUUAAGAACUGUGAGAUAUUCUGAGGAAACUCUAAUUUGUAAAUUGGUAGAAAUGCCAGUAAUUUGUUGGGAAUUGAAGACCCUCUGUAUUCAAGAGCGAAGCUUGGCAGCUGUGCACUGUUGUUUUAUAAAUCAAUAUUACAUCUGAAGGUGGUGUUUGAAUGUUUGUGUCAUUGGGGUUUGUCUCCAACAUAGUCCUGUGACAAGAAAUGUUCAAACAAAACAAACACAAUCCCUUCCCUGUCCUUUAGGAUAAAGUCCAAACGUAAUUCCACAACAGGGAUAUAACAUUCAAAUCAACUACAGAACUUCUGUAAUUAUAUAAAACCCCACGACCACAGAAAUGCAAUUGAAUUGAAGACACUUUGCAAUAUUCCCCAAGAAAGGACUGUGUGGCUGUCAGAUUAACAAAAGUCAAGAGGUGGUGAGACAAUGCUCACCAUUGCAAAAAAGAGCUUUGUGCAUAAUGAACAGAAUUUGCAUGCCUGUUUAGGAAAUUAAGGUGAAGCCAAGGUGACUUAGGGUCACAUGAGGAGUCACAAC
rnacentral:lncRNA from 1 species